GUUGGUAUAUGACCAGAUGGUGGCCACAUGAAUACUUGUAUACCCCCCAGGGAGUCGAGAUUGACAAUGCGAUGUGCCGUUCAGAUUGACAUCCAUGAUCGA